UGUCCUGGGCUACACACGUGCUACAAUGGCCUGGUACAGAGGGAAGCGAAAGGGUGACCUGGAGCGAAUCCCAAAAAGCAGGUCUCAGUUCGGAUUGGAGUCUGCAACUCGACUCCAUGAAGUUGGAAUCGCUAGUAAUCGCGGAUCAGCAUGCCGCGGUGAAUACGUUCCCGGGCCUU
rnacentral:rRNA from 1 species